ACAACAAGGUCAAGUGCGUCAUUUAAUAGGGUUGCCCUUCGUUGUUUCCUUUCGUUUCUCUCUGUAUCGUUGUCCUUCCACAGUCGGUAGAAUUUUUCACCCACUAUUGGGCAGAGAUGGUCGGAGCUUUGGCUCCGACCACGUCCUCCCCUAGCCAGCCCCAGUGGCUCUGUCCAUACGAUUUUCCGUUUGUCCCUUUUGUUUUUCUGUAGUUUAUGGUUUUGUUUCCACUCCGUAGCACUGUUUCUAGCUGAUCUGCUACUUCUCGGUAUCCUCCUUCACGCACGCGCCGCCUUUAUAGCCUCUAAAGCCGCCGAUCUUCAUGCUGGCAAUAGAAAACUGCAAUUUUGUACGGCGCAUUUGAUACAUGCACGGCUCUUGCCGUGCACGUUUAAUACGCGCAGCCGCGUCUUGGAGCGGCUUCCGAGGCCAUACGCAGUCCUUCUGACUUCACCGGCCUUUGAUCCUUCGGAUCAGCUCGUCCGCUUUCUUCCCAAGGUGGCGUGUUUUCCCCACGCACCGCCAUAGAUAGUGUUGUCCCGCCGACGACUCGGCCUCGACUCAGUUGCAAAUGUGAGGUCGUUUGAAUAUCCCCUUGUGAAUCUGCAAAUAAUCAAACAUCAAUCACAACUGGUUAUAGAACUCCGCAUUGUUAAAGCACAUCAAUAUAAAAAAUCUACGCCUACCCGGCAACUUGAAGAUCUACCAGCCAUGGCCGCCACUCGUCAACAACGGACAAAUUUAGAGAUUUGAUCCACAGUUGCGUCCCCAAGUUGCUUGCAAAUGGAAUGAGUAGAGGGCAGAGAAAAUAUGUGAUCAAACCUAUAUAUUAGAGCUCGAUACCCCUUAAUGUUGAGAUAAUAAUGAAAGCUUACAGCACUCUCAACAUCUUUCUUGUAAGGUAAGUCUAUUUUACAUCUUAUCCAAACCUUUACUGUUCCCUGAUUUUCACCAUCAAAAGCAGCAUUAAGCUUAUAUCCUAAUCAAUAUGUAAUUUAUGGCAACACCUUGCAUCAAUAUAUCCUUACCUUUCUGAUA